AUGGCUCAGGAUGAACGCUAGCGGCAGGCUUAACACAUGCAAGUCGAGGGGCAACGCGAGUAGCAAUACUUGGCGGCGACCGGCGCAAGGGUGCGUAACGCGUGAGCAACAUGCCCGUAUCAGGGGGAUAAUCCAGGGAAACUUGGUCUAAUACCCCAUAGUAAUUUUGUAAGGCAUCUUAUAAGAUUUAAAGCUUUGGUGGAUACGGAUUGGCUCGCGUGACAUUAGCUGGAUGGUAAGGUAACGGCUUACCAUGGCUAUGAUGUCUAGGGGUUCUGAGAGGAAGGUCCCCCACACUGGAACUGAGACACGGUCCAGACUCCUACGGGAGGCAGCAGUGAGGAAUAUUGGACAAUGGAUGGAAAUCUGAUCCAGCCAUGCCGCGUGAAGGAAGAAGGUCCUAUGGAUUGUAAACUUCUUUUGUAUGGGAGCAAUAAGGCCUACGUGUAGGUUGAUGAGAGUACCAUACGAAUAAGCACCGGCUAACUCCGUGCCAGCAGCGGC
rnacentral:rRNA from 1 species